GGGGAAUAUUGGAUAAUGGGCGUAAGCCUGAUCCAGCCAUACCGCGUGGGUGAAGAAGGCCUUCGGGUUGUAAAGCCCUUUUGUUGGGAAAGAAAAGCAGCCGGUUAAUACCCGGUUGUUCUGACGGUACCCAAAGAAUAAGCACCGGCUAACUUCGUGCCAGCAGCCGCGGUAAUACGAAGGGUGCAAGCGUUACUCGGAAUUACUGGGCGUAAAGCGUGCGUAGGUGGUUGUUUAAGUCUGUCGUGAAAGCCCUGGGCUCAACCUGGGAAUUGCGAUGGAAACUGGGCGACUAGAGUGUGGCAGAGGGUAGUGGAAUUCCUGGUGUAGCAGUGAAAUGCGUAGAGAUCAGGAGGAACAUCCGUGGCGAAGGCGACUGCCUGGGCCAACACUGACACUGAGGCACGAAAGCGUGGGGAGCAAAC
rnacentral:rRNA from 1 species